CCUACGGGAGGCAGCAGUGGGGAAUAUUGCACAAUGGGCGCAAGCCUGAUGCAGCCAUGCCGCGUGUGUGAAGAAGGCCUUCGGGUUGUAAAGCACUUUCAGCGGGGAGGAAGGCGGUGAGGUUAAUAACCUCACCGAUUGACGUUACCCGCAGAAGAAGCACCGGCUAACUCCGUGCCAGCAGCCGCGGUAAU
rnacentral:rRNA from 1 species